AUUGAACGCUGGCGGCAUGCCUUACACAUGCAAGUCGAACGGCAGCGGGCCUUCGGGUGCCGGCGAGUGGCGAACGGGUGAGUAAUGCAUCGGAACGUGCCAUUGAGUGGGGGGAUAACGUAGCGAAAGUUACGCUAAUACCGCAUAUUCUGUGAGCAGGAAAGCAGGGGACCGCAAGGCCUUGCGCUCUUUGAGCGGCCGAUGUCAGAUUAGCUAGUUGGUGAGGUAAAGGCUUACCAAGGCGACGAUCUGUAGCGGGUCUGAGAGGAUGAUCCGCCACACUGGAACUGAGACACGGCCCAGACUCCUACGGGAGGCAGCAGUGGGGAAUUUUGGACAAUGGGCGCAAGCCUGAUCCAGCCAUUCCGCGUGCAGGAUGAAGGCCUCGGUUGU
rnacentral:rRNA from 1 species